UUGUAUUGAAAACUUAUAACUCGACGGGGGUACUGUACAAAUCGAUGAUGCAAACUUUGAUUCGAUAGAUAUACAUAAGAGUUUUGUUGACCAGGUAACGCAAGAUGAUGCCACUUUCGAACAUCGAUUUUGCUAUGCGUUUUCAUAGGUACCUACAUAUACCUCUAUACGGAUAUUAAAACAAUUGAAUUUGUUAACGAUUAAAUUAUGAUGUUUUACAGAGGAUUUAAAAACACAUCACUUUCGAGAGGGAGGACUUAUUUUCUUUACAAAAUAUCUAACGCAACUGAAUGGAAUGAUUUUUGUUUUUUUGUUGUUUAAUGAAAAAUAAACAUCGGUGUGUUGUUUCGAAAAUGUGAAAAUGAGAAA